rnacentral:rRNA from 1 species
UGAGGAAUAUUGGUCAAUGGGCGAGAGCCUGAACCAGCCAAGUAGCGUGCAGGAUGACGGCCCUAUGGGUUGUAAACUGCUUUUAUAUGGGAAUAAAGUGAGGGACGUGUCCCUUAUUGCAUGUACCAUACGAAUAAGGACCGGUUAAUUCCGUGCCAGCAGCCGCGGUAAUACGGAAGGUCCAGGCGUUAUCCGGAUUUAUUUGGUUUAAAGGGAGCGUAGGCUGGAGAUUAAGUGUGUUGUGAAAUGUAGACGUUCAACGUCUGAAUUGCAGCGCAUACUGGUUUCCUUGAGUACGCACAACGUUGGCGGAAUUCGUCGUGUAGCGGUGAAAUGCUUAGGUAUGACGAAGAACUCCGAUUGCGAAGGCAGCUGACGGAAGCGCAACUGACGCUUAAGCUCGAAGGUGCGGGUAUCAAACAGG